UACGUAGGGUGCAAGCGUUGUCCGGAAUUAUUGGGCGUAAAGAGCUCGUAGGCGGUCGGUCACGUCGGACGUGAAAAUCCAGGGCUCAACCCUGGACCUGCGUUCGAUACGGGCAGACUAGAGUUCGGUAGGGGAGACUGGAAUUCCUGGUGUAGCGGUGAAAUGCGCAGAUAUCAGGAAGAACACCCGUGGCGAAGGCGGCUCUCUGGGACGGUACUGACGCUGAGGAGCGAAAGCCAGGGGAGCAAACGGG
rnacentral:rRNA from 1 species